ACUACAUUUCAUUUCAUAACUUACUAUUCUGUCGUAAUACACAUCUAUAGUACAACAAUAAAUUUAUCAGUUAUUUAUCAAUCCGUAUCUGGAGAUUUCAUUCAAAUUUUCUAGUUAAUUUUAUUUAUGAUCAUGAAGUUAGCAGACAAUUAACAAUUUUCGAAUUUGGUUUUCAACCAUUUAAUUUAAAAAAAAAAAAAGACUUAAAAUAGGCACGUGAAGAAAAUUUAAUAAUAAACUCUCAUGACGAUUUUGUACGAAACGAAAUUAAAGACCCAAGAGUGUACAUGAUGCUAAAAGUAGCAGUCAAAAAAAUUUUUUUUUCUUUUCAAAACAUAAAGAAAAUACUUAUAGGGAAAGAUUUUCAAAAAUUUAUGUCAAGAACUUUUAAAAAAUUUUUUUCUCACUCAUGACAUUUUUAUACAAAACAGAAUUUUUUUUUCAAAAAUACUUACAGGGAAAAUUUUAAAAAUCCAUGUCAAGAAAUUGUGAAUAUUUCAAAAAAAUUUGUUCUGAGUACAAUAUCAUGUAUCAACAAGGAAUUAAGUGACACUUCAUUAAUUAAGGUAAUUACUUGAUUAGUAAAGGUAAUUAAUUAAUUAAUAAAGAUAAUUGUCUUUAACAUUGAACUAGAAAAUGGAGUUUCAGUUUGAAAUACAAAAAAAACCGAUAAAAAAAAUUUAAUCUGACGUUUUAAAAAUUA